rnacentral:rRNA from 1 species
UGGAAACAGGGAGUGCCUUUCGGGGAACUCGGAGACAGGUGCUGCAUGGCUGUCGUCUAGCUCGUGUCGUGAGAUGUUGGUUAAGUCCGCAACGAGCGCAACCCUUGUCUUUAAUUGCCAGCAUUCAGUUGGGCACUUUAAAGAGACUGCCGGUGUUAAGCCGGAGGAAGGUGGGAUGACGUCAAGUCCUCAUGGCCUUUAUGCCCAGGGCUACACACGUGCUACAAUGGGUGGUACAAAGAGAUGCCAACUCGCGAGAGCGCGCCAAUCUCAGAAAGCCAUCCUCAGUUCGGAUUGGAGUCUGCAACUCGACUCCAUGAAGUUGGAAUCGCUAGUAAUCGCGGAUCAGCACGCCGCGGUGAAUACGUUCCCGGGCCUU